UUUGCUAUACCACAGUGGGUAUAUAUAACCUAAAUGGCACACCAAAAGAAUUGCAGAUUCAUACCAGAGAAGAGCGUAUAUAUAUAUAAUUGACUGGAUUUCUACCUUAUAAGCCAUUAUAAAACCCUCUACACUUCUCCUAUGAGUGAAUGAACAUGCACUUUAACAUUCAAUGAAGAUGAAUUUGACUUUGAGAUAAUUUUCCAGGGAAGCUUACAUCUUCCUUGUAGAGGACUAGAUUAACUGUCACUGUGAAUCUAGAACCAUUCAUAUACUGUCAAGUCAAGCCUCUGUCUUCCUGUUAUAGAUCAGAAGUACCAACUUCACAACCUCUCACUUCCCAAGGUGGAGUGCCAAAUUUUUUAUUUUUGUCUGAGAAUCUCAUUUUCACAUUUUCUUCAUCAACAGGAAAAACAAAAAACACCAUUUGUAAACAAGAAACGUCAGCUAGGACCUGUUACUGAAAAUAGACCUUAACUAUGAUGUUAUUUUCAUGCAAUACAUGCCGCUGAACCUAAAACCCUGAUUGGAAAACUGAAUAAUAAGAGAACAAUUCCGUUUGCUCUGUAAACAUAGAUAGAGGCCCUGGAAGGCUAAUUCGCCAUGAUUACCAUAAGAUCAGAGAGCUCUGCCUCUCUCUGCUGUGAUAAACAGAUCUGUUAUUUCUAAUCAGAACACCUGUCUGUAAGUCAAACAUAUCUAGGAAUUAUGGAGGUGUGAACAGGGUUGUUCUGAGGGAUUGUAAACAAAUAACAGAACAGAAUCCCACAGUUACAGAUAAACCACACAAACACAAGGUAGGACACAGCACAAACCUCGCGGCACCUAACUGUCAGUGACACAGUGAAAGUGGGAAUUUCUCUUCUGAUGUCACAGAGUCCUACAUACUUCUGUGGUUUAGGGUCAAAGUUCUGCUAUAUUCCAUCUAAUCAGCCACCAAAAAAGGGAUACCUCUGCUAUAACAUCUCACAUGUCAACAAGCUAUCAAAGUUUGAUAGGACACUUUGAAAACCUUGAGUCUCUCAUCUCAGGAGCACUGACCUAGUGUCUGCCAGCAGGGGAGCUCUGACAAAUCCAAAGCAGCAAAAAUAAGAAACAGAGCAACUUCUGAGACAACUGGUCCAAUCUUCAUGAAUCCCUGUAGCUGGUGUAGAGUUGUGCAGCAUUUCCUGUCUUAUCUUCUACUGUCCUCAGUCGCCCAGGAACAGUGAAGGUUUCUACCUGUCACACCGCUCUAUCUCAGAAUUUACUCUGUUGUGCCGGAGAGCUUGACCACAGAAUUCUAACACAGAAACCUUCAAGUCGACCCAAUGAAAAUCAAUGCCACGGUACAAACUGUGUGGCAAUUUCUCCCUUCUGUGUUCAAUAGAACCAACUUUUUCCCUUGAUGAAUAGUUUGAAAAAAAAGUGGUUCUCAGAGUAGAGUAUGAAAAUGCUGCAAUUCUAUUUUGUAUCCAAAAUCCAAACUCAUUUAGUAAUUAGCUUGAAAGAAUGCAGAAUGAAUAUGAAAAGAAUAUGAAAAUCUAAUAGCAAUUGUUCUUUCCAAUAAGUUUUUCAAUAUUUUUCAAAUAGAUCCAACUUUUCGACUUAUCUCUUCAACAACUUUUAAAGAAUGAGUGGCAAUGUCUGGUACACAGUGCAGGAUGAUCCUAUACAACUGUAAACCAUUAACCAAUUAAAUCAUUUGUUACAAGUCAUCAGGAUGAGGCUUAAUGUGUUUGAUGGGAACGAUUAUCAGAAAAAUUUCAACACCAGUGUUAAGAAAGAUAUUUAUACAGUAAACAUCUUAUUUUUGCGUAAUUCCUCAGUAUUUUUAUCUAAUGUGCGCAACUUCAAGCACUGACAGAGUGCUGAGAAUAAUGUUUUUGAAAUGGAAACACUUAGUGUUUGUAAGUGUAGACCAGUGAAAUCUAACACUUAAAAUAUUUCUUUUCACAAGUGAUAGGUGCCAGAACAAAAAUUCUUGGGGACUGAAAGUGCCUGUGAAUUGGAUUUAUUCAAACCAAAAAAAAAAAAAAAUAAUAUGAAUUUUCACUCAUUAAUUUGAACCACUUGAUAUUCAUUCACCAAGUGUAUCAACAUGUCACUUAAAGUAAUGAAAAAUUACAUUCAGAAA